ACCAGGGUGGUGUAGUGGUUUGAGCAUUAGACUAGGAGUCUGAAGACCUGGGUUCGAGUCCUGACUCAGCCAUGGAA